UACAGAGGGUGCAAGCGUUAAUCGGAAUUAUUGGGCGUAAAGCGCGCGUAGGUGGUUGUACACGUUUUGAUGUGAAAGCCCUGGGCUUAACCUGGGAAUUGCGUUGAAUACGGUAUAACUCGAGUCGGUCAGAGGGUCGUGGAAUUUCCGGUGUAGCGGUGAAAUGCGUAGAGAUCGGAAAGAACAUCGAUGGCGAAGGCAGCGACCUGGGACCAGACUGACACUGAGGUGCGAAAGCGUGGGGAGCAAACAGG
rnacentral:rRNA from 1 species